GUGAAUCAUCAAAUUUUUGAACGCAAAUUGCACUCUCUUGCAUUAGUGAGAGUAUGCCUGUUUGAGGGUCAAAAUAAACAGAAACGGAGGGUUGCUUUUUGUGUGACGCGCCGGAGGUUGGGUCAUCUUAACUCUUUUGUUUAUGAGACCUAAAAAUAACAUUCUUUUUUGCUCACUUUUGAGAUGUACAUUAUUUUUUUUUAGUUUACUAUCCUGGU
rnacentral:misc_RNA from 1 species